rnacentral:rRNA from 1 species
CGAACGCUGGCGGCGUGCUUAACACAUGCAAGUCGAGCGAUGAAGCACCUUCGGGUGUGAAUUAGCGGCGAACGGGUGAGGAACACGUGAAGAAUCUGCCUUCAACUCUGGGAUAACUCCGGGAAACCGGGGCUAAUACCGGAUAUGAGCCUUGAUCGCAUGAUCGGGGCUGGAAAGUUUUUCGGUUGAAGAUGACUUCGCGGCCUAUCAGCUUGUUGGUGAGGUAAUGGCUCACCAAGGCGACGACGGGUAGCCGGCCUGAGAGGGCGACCGGCCACACUGGGACUGAGACACGGCCCAGACUCCUACGGGAGGCAGCAGUGGGGAAUAUUGGGCAAUGGAGGAAACUCUGACCCAGCGACGCCGCGUGAGGGAUGAAGGCCUUCGGGUUGUAAACCUCUUUCAGUAGGGAAGAAGCGAAAGUGACGGUACCUACAGAAGAAGCACCGGCUAACUAUGUGCCAGCAGCCGCGGUAAUACAUAGGGUGCAAGCGUUGUCCGGAAUUAUUGGGCGUAAAGAGCUCGUAGGUGGUUCGAUACGUCGGAUGUGAAAAUCAGGGGGCUCAACCCCUGACCUGCAUCCGAUACGGUCGAGCUAGAGUUUGGUAGGGGAGACUGGAAUUCCUGGUGUAGCGGUGGAAUGCGCAGAUAUCAGGAGGAACACCGAUGGCGAAGGCACUUCCCUGGGCCGUAACUGACGCUGAGGAGCGAAAGCGUGGGGAGCGAACAGGAUUAGAUACCCUGGUAGUCCACGCCGUAAACGGUGGGUGCUAGUUGUGGGUUCCAUUCCACGGAAUCCGUGACGAAGUUAACACAUUAAGCACCCCGCCUGGGGAGUACGGUCGCAAGACUAAAACUUAAAUGAAUU